ensembl:lincRNA Gm26865 predicted gene, 26865
GCACUCCUGGAGAUUGAACAGAGGGUCUUCCGUGUGCUAGAUAAUGACUGAGCUAGACCUCAACUAUAAUCCUGAAGCACUGCAAUACGAGUUUCUUUUCUCACACCCAAGGGGAGGAAACCCUCCUUAAAGAAAUGAAGGAAUGGGUGCAAUGCCAAGAGAUGUGGCUCAUACACUCAAACGCAGCAAACUGCUUUCAUAGCAUCACCCCCAGGUUUUCUUUUAUGUCCCAAGGAGCAUAUAAAAAUGCUCUCAAACUUAAGCCAUCACACAAAUGCUAAAUUACAACAGAAUCUCUGGCAGAAACCGUAUUUGGAUUUGCUGGGUUAUUUAAUGAAUUUUCAACAGAAGCUGCUUCUGCUAAAUCCAAUUCAGUCAUUUCAACAUACAGUCUUGCACGACUGUUCUAGAAUUCUAAAAACUAUCCACAGGUUACUGGGAUACAAGAAAGGCUCAAUAUGCAAGUCUGUUACCAAUAGGAUUGUGCUGAAAAAUCCAAAAUAAUAAACAGACAUUUCAUAGGCAAAGGGUUCUGAGAACCAGGAAAAUCAGCUGUUCAUUAGGCUGGAGUGUAGUCAGCCUCUGGCAACAUCCUAUGAAUAUUACACUGGCUAGUUUUAGCGUCAUCAGAAACAAGAGAACUUCAACUGAGAAAAUGACUCUAUCAAGAUUGUGUUGCAGGCAAAUCUGUAAAGCAUUUUCUUUAAUGAGUGAUUGGUAUUGAUGGGACCACGCUAUUGUAGGUGGUACCAUCUUGGCUUUGUGCUCCUGGAUUAUAAAAAAAGCAGAUUAAGCAAGCCACGAGGAGCAAGCUUCUGCCCCAGACUUAUGACCAGUUGGAAUUCCUCCUUGGCUUUCCUCAGUGAACAGUGGGUCGAAAUAUGUAAUUCAAAUAAAUUCUUUCCUUCCCUGGUUGCUUUUGGUUAUGGUCUUUCAGCACAGCGCUAAUAACCCAAAACAAGAAAGAUUAUCAAAGGCAGAUGCGCUAAGGUCAGGGAUGGAGCAAGGCCCGCUCCCUGCAGGCAAGAUUGUUACAAGCACCGCGAACGGUUUCUGUGUUGAACUAUAAAGCACUCGCCAACUGCGUUCCUUCCCUAAACGAUUUCACUGCUGUACUGGGCAGUCGUGGUCCAGUGACAGGCGGGAGGGAGACUGGGCCGCUCGGCCUCCGCCCGCCCCGGCCAGCGCCAUCACCUGUUUCCGCAACCGCCGAAGACUGUUCUUCGUUCCCGACGCUCGCCGCUAUAGUCCCUGGACAACUGAGGAGCCUGGAAAUAGAGCGCGGGAUUCGGUUCCGUCUCUGGGAACACACGGGCAAACGGGUCAAUAACCCCACGCCGCGAGCAGCCAUUGUCAGGGCAGCAGGAAGUAAACGCCAAAGGUCAGCGGGCUUAUGAGCAUGCGCGCCGAGAGACCGCAACAACGGGAAGCCCUUUAGGUCAAACUAGGUAGUCACUAUCAAGUAGAAAGCAAAAUACGAAGGCCAGAAUAGAAAUUGCUGAGGUUUGCAUAUACUUACGUGGUCUUAAUUUAACUUUCUGUGUGCCUCACUGAACCCUGGUGAAGUGUUGCUACUCCAUUAUACAGCGUUUAACUUGUUACGCUUUAUUCACAUUUUGUUGAAGAGGAAGUCAGUCUCAAGUCAGACUACCAAAGUUAUUGUUUUGUUCCUAAAUAGGCACGUUUUAAAUCCCUAGUUAGAUAUCUUUUUUAAAGUGCUAAGUGCUACUAACUUUAUUGGGUUUGUAUGACUAUUGAUUUGUUCCUUUCACUAAUUCAAAAUUUAAUUAGAUUUCCCCUAACUUUCUACAUUUGUAAGUUUUACUAAUUGAACUAUAUUCUUGCAUUCCACCUCACAACAGAGGAAAGUUUUCAGUUUUCUUUAUUUUUAAAGUAUGUGUCCGUUAUGUAGUUUUGUACUUGUGAGUGCAAUGCCCAAAAGUGCUACCAGAGGGCAUGAGCUCUGGAAGGAUUGGAGAUACCAGGGACUGUGAGCCUCCGCACACGCGUGCUGGGAACCAAACUGCGAUCCUCUGCAAAAGCAACGUGUCCUCUAACUCCUGAGCUGUCUUUCCAGACUCUCAAUAGAGUCGGUGUGCCAAAUGUGGUUUCUCAGUUUUGAGACCUCAGUAGGCCGUUUCUACCCUUUUACUGUUAUAAUUAGAGUAGCUAAGAACAUUCAUGUGCAAUUUUUGUGUGUGAAUGUGUGCAUCUAGAGGUCAUAUAUCAACAUCAGGUGUCUUCCACCUCUAUUGCUCUCCAAUCGUAUCUUUAGGUCCAGUGUGCCUCACAGUUUUGUCUAGUGAGGCUCUGAGAUCUACCUGCCUCUGCCUUUCUUCACCUGGUGCAAUUGAACUAAACUUAAGUUCUCUGCAAGAACUGUAUGUGUUCUUAACUCUCUAGCCAUUACCACAGACCCUGUUUUAACACUAAAAAAUAUAUAAUAUUUAGUUUGAAAUGUAUGCAUAUACGUGUGACAGAGAGUAUAUUUGCAUAUGUAUAUGAAUGCCCACAGAGGCCAGAGAGCGCUUUGGAUUUCCCAGAGCUGAAAUCACAAGCCACCCAAUAUGGAUAUUAACAAUUAAACUAGAGUCCUCUGCAAGAACAGCAAAUCUCUCCAGGUCCUGCUUUAAUCUCUUAUGGAACUCCUAUGCUUUACCCCAGAGGAGCUGUAUCUUUUUCAUUGCCACAAGAAAUACAUGAGAUUUUGAUGUUUUGUACACUCGACAAUAUUUGCUAAUUUUGAUCUAUGGUAUAAUGUCUCUUUUGUUGCUGUGAGCAAAUAUCAUGACCAAGGUAACUUAUAGAAGAGUUAUUUGGACAUACAGCUUCAGAUAGAUAGACCCUCAAAUGGCAGAGCAGAGUGGAUAGGUACAGCGCCUGGAGCAGGAUGCUCAGAGUUCACAUCUCGGACUGCAUGCACAAGGCAGAGAAAAAGCACCUUAAACGGCUCAAAUCUUUAGACUUUGAGCCCACCUCUAGGAACACGUUUCCUCCUGCAAGGCCACGCCCCCUCCAAAGCAGCUCCACCAACUGGGUCAAAUGUUCAAACAUCUAAGCCUAUGGGCGACAUUCUCUAUCAAACAACCACAGUUUGUUUUGUUGUUGUUUGUUCUGUUUGUUUGUGGUUUUGUUUUGUUUUGAUAUCAACCAUCCUAGUGCACGUGAGGUAGUGCCGCGGGUUUUUGAUUUGCAUUUCCCUGAUGAAGGCCAAGCACCUUUUAAUAUAAUUAUCAGCCUUGGUGUUUUCCCUCUGGGGAAAAGCCAAUUUCCAUACUUUACUCUAAAAAUAAAAUCAAAACAC